CCUCUUGUUAGCCACCUACAAAAUUAUUAUUAGCAUAACAAUAUGUCUCACACGACAUGAGACAUUAUGCUAAUAAUAAUUUUGUAGGUGGCUAACAAGAGG